GACGAACGCUGGCGGCGUGCCUAAUACAUGCAAGUAGAACGCUGAAGAGAGGAGCUUACUCUUCUUGGAUGAGUUGCGAACGGGUGAGUAACGCGUAGGUAACCUGCCUUGUAGCGGGGGAUAACUAUUGGAAACGAUAGCUAAUACCGCAUAACAAUGGAUGACACAUGCCCUUUAUUUGAAAGGGGCAAUUGCUCCACUACAAGAUGGACCUGCGUUGUAUUAGCUAGUAGGUGAGGUAAUGGCUCACCUAGGCGACGAUACAUAGCCGACCUGAGAGGGUGAUCGGCCACACUGGGACUGAGACACGGCCCAGACUCCUACGGGAGGCAGCAGUAGGGAAUCUUCGGCAAUAGGGGCAACCCUGACCGAGCAACGCCGCGUGAGUGAAGAAGGUUUUCGGAUCGUAAAGCUCUGUUGUAAGUCAAGAACGGGUGUGAGAGUGGAAAGUUCACACUGUGACGGUAGCUUACCAGAAAGGGACGGCUAACUACGUG
rnacentral:rRNA from 1 species